GGAUUAGAUACCCUGGUAGUCCACGCCGUAAACGAUGAGAACUUGCUGUUGGGUGCGUCAAGCACUUAGUAGCGGAGCUAACGCGUUAAGUUCUCCGCCUGGGGAGUACGGCCGCAAGGUUAAAACUCAAAGGAAUUGACGGGGGCCCGCACAAGCGGUGGAGCAUGUGGUUUAAUUCGACGCAACGCGAAGAACCUUACCUACCCUUGAAUCUACAGAAUUUUGCAGAGAUGUAAAAGUGCCUUCGGGAACUGUAUGACAGGUGCUGCAUGGCUGUCGUCAGCUCGUGCCG
rnacentral:rRNA from 1 species